GCUUGCUCCCGGAUGUUAGCGGCGGACGGGUGAGUAACACGUGGGUAACCUGCCUGUAAGACUGGGAUAACUCCGGGAAACCGGAGCUAAUACCGGAUAGUUCCUUGAACCGCAUGGUUCAAGGAUGAAAGACGGUUUCGGCUGUCACUUACAGAUGGACCCGCGGCGCAUUAGCUAGUUGGUGGGGUAAUGGCUCACCAAGGCGACGAUGCGUAACCGACCUGAGAGGGUGAUCGGCCACACUGGGACUGACACACGGCCCACACUCCUACGGGAGGCAGCAGUAGGGAAUCUUCCGCAAUGGACGAAAGUCUGACGGACCAACGCCGCGUGAGUGAUGAAUGUUUUCGGAUCGUAAAGCUCUGUUGUUAGGAAAGAACAAGUGCGAGAGUAACUGCUCGCACCUUGACGGUACCUAACCAGAAAGCCACGGCUAACUACGUGCCACCAGCCGCGGUAAUACGUAGGUGGCAAGCGUUGUCCGGAAUUAUUGGGCGUAAAGGGCUCGCAGGCGGUUUCUUAAGUCUGAUGUGAAAGCCCCCGGCUCAACCGGGGAGGGUCAUUGGAAACUGGGAAACUUGAGUGCAAAAAAGGAGAGUGUAAUUCCACGUGUAUCGGUGAAAUGCAUAUAGAUGUGGAGGAACACCAGUGGCGAAAGCCACUCUCUGGUCUGUAACUGAC
rnacentral:rRNA from 10 species